AAAAAAAAAAGGGACCAACGUCGCUGAAAACGAACGAACAUCGUGGAUUUUAUCCUGGGUCUGAAAGAUAUCGGGAAUGCCAUACAAAAAUGAACAAAACGAAUAAAAAAAGAUAUGAAAGAAAGCAUCUGCAAAAAAGAAGAUGAUACCAAGAUCAUAAACUCUGUAAUGUCGUAAACUAGAUAUUGUCUGUGCACAGUGUUGGGUAAAGAUAUUCUAAAAAUGGGAUGACAGCAAGAUACUUCGUGAAAGCCUUUUGAAACUCGCGAUCAAUCACCGGCUCCUCUUUCGUGUGUGUUAAGCAAUCGUCAUAUCUGAUAUAACUUUGUAAUAAUAGUACUACUAUUAAUAAUAGAGCUAUAAAAUCGUGUGAACAUAACUCUAGGUACGGGACAGAAUAGAAAUUACGUUGGAAAUGCAAAGGAAACGGAUUCUCUGAUUGUACCAAGGGACAGCCGGUAACAGAUGUUAUUCGAGUAAACCGUGAACGAUUAGCGCUUCGAUCGAAUUCUCAACGCCUCACAAAACUUUACUUUCUACGUGUACAUAAGUGUAAGCGUGGAGCCACGUACUCACGUAACAUCACAUAUUUGGGAAUGUAAUAUUCUUAAAUUUGAUCAAAGGUGUAGGCAUUUCAGUUCACGCAAAGCAAAAUGAAAAUGAGAGAUGGUCUAUGCGUUUGAAUUACUUAACACUGUUUCAUCGAACACACGAGGAACAUAUUCGACAGUGUGAAGGUCCGUUUUUAGAUAAAUUCGUUAACCCCCGGUGGCACAAAAGGUCCGCUUUCACAAACGAACGAGCAAUCAGCCGAAGGCUGGAGAUAAAUUUACUUCCUCAAAAGAUACAUACAAAAUCGAGAGAGUUUUAUCCUCUGACGAAAGUAGCCGUCCGUAUGAUUGGAAAGCAAAAGAAGAAAAAGUGAAAAAGAGGAAGAAACGAGCGAAGGCAGGAUCGAGAAUUUCGAUGCGUGAAGGAGUAGCAAUCGCUGUGUUACAAUUGUAUUAAAACAAAUGUGUCGUUGAAUUUUCAUAGCGAACGUACCUACAUAUAUGUAUAUGUUGACCGUAUCAUUGUCGUUACCGAUCGUAGAAUUUAUGAAAGCUCUCUGAGUGUGUCCUUUCGUUACCUGAAUCGCUAUCCUUCCUUUUAACACGACUUUCAUACGUCACGCCGACCAUCAAAACUCUCUCUUUCCCCACUUUUCGAUAUUUACAAUCAAAAACUCUUCUUUUUUUACUUCUCUUUUCAUUUUUGAAAUAUUUUGCUCACUUUUCUUCAGAAUAUAUUGUAUGUCAUUGUAAAGCUAAGCGUUCGUGCGUGCGUGCGAUAUGUACAUAAAUGUAACGAUACACAUGCGCAUACAUUAUAGUGAAACGAAUUGUAUUCGUUGUAUGCACAUUGUGCAUUGUAAUGCACAAUGAUGCAUCGUACAUGUGACACUGUGCGAGAAGAAGCGUAUUUUUUUUUUAGAGAAUUUAUCAUCAAACAUUUUCUGUUGUUCGACUCUUGUAAAAAUAGAUUUACUUUCUAGUGAGAGAUAGAUUUUUCUAUGAAAUAACUAUUAAGUUUGAAUCUUCUGUAGGUAGAAGGAAAAAAGAUACGGAUGUGAAAGAUGCAUUGCUUCUUUUUGUACAGUGUUUCACAUAAGCUAAUGUGUGUUUCGUUGAAACUGGAAAAGCGACACUAUUUUCCUUCCAACUCGAAUUGAAUCUUGUAUUUUACUUUAUUCCCGAUUCGCGCACAAAUGCAAGAAAUGAUGCGUUAGAUCGACCAACGCCCAAUGUGAUGCACACAAGCUGCUUAAACGUACAAUUAGGGAACAAACAUUUAUUUUUUUAUAUGUACCCCAGCUGGUCGUUCGUCGGACAUUUUACGCGCGUGAUUGAGGAUUGAACACCUCGUAUAGGUCAAACAUUAUUUCGCGUGUUGUAUCUCCUCGCACAAAAAAAAUUUAUAUAUCAGCGUCUGUAAGUUUUCCUGUUAGAGUCUAUAGAAUUCCGGAAUGUACACAAAUUCAAUCCUAAAAAGUUACGUUUUACAAUAAUGUUAUUAAGAAUAGAAAGUCUAAUUAAUACGUUGCAAUUAACACCUUGUGAACUAACAACACACGUUGCUCUUGUUAUUACAAAUAUUAUCGACAUCCAACCAUUCUAUCGUUUAUCAUUACAAAGUAAUAUUAAUUUUUAUCAUAAAGAGAAAUAUCAUUUAAGGAAUUAAAAUCGUUUAAAAAAAGAAACAGCAAAAAUGAACGCGUGAUAGUGCACAAAGUGUUAAGCGUUUUGAUUGUCAGCAUCGAUGCUUCAGAGCGAAAAAUCAUUGUUAUUUUGAUUAGAACCGCAAUCGAUCUAUCUAAUCGAAAUAUACGAACACGAAAAAGAUUGAAAGAAAAAAAAAAAGGUAAGAAAACGCCAAUCUCCGAGACGUUGACGACUCAUCGAGAAUCGAAGUUUUACACGUCCAGUCGCAGUUUCUUUCUAAUGAGAUUUAUUGCGUUGUUGACCGUGCUAAUUCUAUCUGACUUAAGCCUAUUUCCAUGUUGAAGACACACCAGUGAUUGUUGCCGAGCUGAAAAGUCCGAAGUCUAAUUUAUAAAUGUGAUAGAAAAGCGUGCGAGCAGGGAAUUCGCGAAAUCGGCUUUGGAAACAGUUUUCUAAUCAAAUUAUAAAUUAGUUUCAUCCAGAAUUAUGUAUCGUCUUUAUGAGUUGCAAAGUGGAUUGAGAUUUAUGAAUCUUUUUAUCUUUUGAUAAAUAACUUUUUUACGUGUAUAUUGAGAAUUGUUCUUCCUUAUCGAUAGAGCAUCUUACAUAUCCGCUUUGUAAUUACAUAUAAAGUUCAUUGUACAAAUAUUUGUUACUCGUUUUAUGGUUGUCUUUUCGUCGACAAGUUUGUUAAGCUGAUCGUUCAUCGAUCGUUUGAACAUACGAUACAGAAGAGUCGAAUAGCGGAACCGAGAAAUACUUGGCAAGCAUACAUCCUGCUGUUUAAAAGCUCGUUAAAAAGACGUUCCCUGCUCAUGCGCGGACAGAGCUGUAUUAGCGAUCGUUAUAAAUGAGCAUUAUUUAUUUCUCGAUUGUAUUUAUAUAUCGUUAAUCGUAGUGAGUCUUAAUAGUGAUUUACGGAAGUGUUAUUAUCUGGUGCUGAAUAUUAAUAUAUAUCUGUCGAUGUAUUGGUGACUCGAAUCGAGGUAUCGUUAAGGAAUUACGAUCGAAACAAGGAGGUAUUAGAAUAUUUGCAUUAGUUGUUAGGUAAAUAAUUUUUGAAAAAUAAUUUUACUUAACUCGGUAAUACGACGAUUUCACUAUAUGAGUUACUUGUUACUCGUUGCUUGGGGAGUGGUAAUUUCGUGUGCAAAAAUUGCUACUGCUGAUUAGCGUAAUCAAGUUAGCUCGAAUUCGACCGUAUUACCGUGGUAAUUAAAGAUAUUUCAUUUAUCGAUCGAUUAUCUUUUCGAUAUUACAAAUGAUCCUUACGGUUCGCUGUAUAAAAGAAAGAAAGAAGGAAACUCAGUGUAGUUGCUACCGUAGGAAUUCUCCUUGUUUGUAUAACGAUACUUAACAUCUUCGAUUGAUCCUUGAUUCGAUCUAGAAAUACAUCGGGCGUUAUACGCGAUUAUUACUCCGUAGCUGAUGAUUCGUUAUGUGCGUAUUGUAAAUUCGAACGAUUGUGAAUGUAUUUUACUUGCGUUUGCACGAGUCCUACGCUAUUUCCCUCGAUUUUAGUUUUCUUUUCUAUUUCUUUACCGAAGCAUUCCCAAGACGAAUCUCGUAAGCACUUCUUCGUAGAAGUAGUAGAAAACACAUUUACCGACCGGCAUUUAAAAUACGCGUAUUCCGAUAUAUUAAAAUAUUUCGACGGGAUAUUUUAAUAUACAUCGAGGGGUGUUUUAAGUGGACACACUUAUAAACGAUGAAAUAUUGCAGAAACACACACACGUACAAUAUAUAUGUAUGCAAAAAAUUGAACGCAAUGAAGAAAGUGUGUGUUGUUGAAAUUAAUUGAGUUGUUAAUUUCGUGCAAAUGAGUCAGAAAUACAUUACCAGUCUCGUUGAAAAAGAUCUGCUUCUCAUCCUAAAAUAGGAACGAGACGCGUGACGAGAGGGCAACGUUGUAUGAAAAAACGCUUUCGGUGUUUUGUGACAAACAUAUUUUCAAGUAUCAUAACACCUGUUUGAUAUUGCGAGCACCCGAUGAAACGUAUCCAAGUUAUUCUGCCAAGUCUAUCUCGUAUUUGUUGAGAAACUAUGCAGGUAAGAGAAUCUUUGUUUUUGACGCGAAGAAAGUAUUUUUACGAUAUAGUUGGGAGAACUAGGAAACCGGAUGCGAUUCAAAAGAUUGCGUAUUAUGAACACUGUUGCGUGCACGUGCCGAAUAUUAGUUUGAAGGAGUGAAUGAACGAUUUACGAGGCAAAAAGAGACAAAAGAAAUAAUGGAAGAAAUAAGAAUUGCACAUCCUGUUGAUUAUGUAUUUUUUAAAGUUAGUAUUGAGACAUGCCUAUAUUCUUAUGGAAUCGAUGAAUAACGCUAUAAUUUUAAUGACAAAAAUGGAGUAAAAUAAAAUAUUAAAUAAAAACUAAAUCGAUCAGGAAAAGAUCUUUUAUUUAAUCAAAAUUAAAUAAUUUCAUUUUUGUCAUUAUAAUUUAGUCCAUACAAUAGCGAAAAUUUUCCUUCUCCUUUCUCUAAAAAUUUCUGUUUAAAUAAUACAUAUUUUCAUUCAUAAUAUUCGUGGAGUGUUUCUUAAUUUCAUUACAGGUGCCAAAAAAUAUUACAGGAAAAAUAGAACUGCAUAAAUAAUAGUAAAAGAAAAAAUACAGAAAAACUGAUAUAAUUCUUAUAUGCUACAACAUUGAUUUUAUCUUGGCCAAAAUGCAUCCAUUUUGAUAUCGUAUUUUUGUAAAUAAUGAUUUAAUAUCAUUCUCUAUUGAACAGGGAUUUUAUUACUUAUUGCCCAAAAUUUUAAUGAAACAAUUUACACACAGAUAUGUAUUGUAAAUUAUUGAAACUUCGAUUUUGAUCCAUUAUGGCAAAGAUAAAAAUAAGAUGUAAGCGCAGAAGUUCAAACGAUCUUAAGGCCACUUUUACACAUGUCUGUAGAAGUGCGUCUUUUAAAGACAAAUUUUUUGACAGCUCCAUCUGCCAUACUUUGUUGAAACAUGCGUCCAUUCCAGUUCCAGUCUAAAGAGAGUUAACGUAUUAUUUCCGUCAAUGUUGCAGCACAUUUAACGCGUUUAGAAACGUGGGAAGAAGGUCUCAAAAGGGCAAAAAAGUAAUUUUAAUGGGUACAAACUAAAUGACCGAAAAUGGUGCGUGCAAACAUAAGAACGUUAUUAAAUGUAAGGAUUUAUGUUUAUCACUUUCUUCCUUUCCAUUUGUCCUAAUUUUUAUUUUUGAAAGCUAUUUAAUUUGUUAUAAUUUAUAAUAAUUAUUAUAAUUUGUCAUAUCUGAAAGAAAAACAUAUUUAUGUAUGAACGAUUGCCUUUGUGCUUGCUGUGUUUGCCUUGUCAUAAUCAUAAAUCAAAUACGUUUAACUGAUCGAAUGCAAAUAUAUGUCUAUAUAUUAACGGAGAGUUUAUCGGUUGCAAAUACACGGGCAAUCGUAAACCGAAGCAAAUACUGUUACUUGUCUGAUUAUUGUAUACAAAAUAAAUAAAAAAUGUAUAUAUACAUCAGAAACAGUAGUUUUAAUUGUGUAGAUUACAACCUAUUCAAGAAACUCUUUUGAAACAUCUGAAAUUUUAUUAAGCUCAAUUAUCAAUCCAAUAUAAUUCAUGUAUAUUUUUAAUGCCAAUUUGUGUUGUAAUUGUAUAAAUAUUACCCAUUGUAUUUUUAUAAUAUUUCAAUUAAUCUGAUUUUUAAUAAUUUGAAUAAUUCAAUAAUCAUUCAUCAAACAAUUAUUCUUGAAGAAACAGAAAUUCCUGUUAUUUGCAAUAUUAAAGCUUCGCUUUCUUUUAUUGUAUCCUUAUACAUAGCUCGAGUAUUUAAUAAUCUAUAUAUAUAUAUAUAUAUAUUUAUAUUUAUGUUCAUAUAUAUAUAUAUUUAUAUUUAUAUAAUAGUAUGUAUAUUCUCGUCACAUGUAGGCGUGUAACUCUCCCCAUCUUUCUCUUUGUACGUGUAUUUUCUCCGAGUUUUACAACAGUCUGUCGUGUUGCAUGUGUAACUGAGAGUGUAAUUCGCGGUGUGCGUAUCGUCUAUGCGUGUCUAUUUAUAUAUA
rnacentral:lncRNA from 1 species